rnacentral:sRNA from 1 species
UCCAUCGAAAAACAGACCAAAAGUGGCC